AGAGUUUGAUCCUGGCUCAGAACGAACGCUGGCGGCAGGCUUAACACAUGCAAGUCGAACGGUUGUAGCAAUACAGCAGUGGCAGACGGGUGAGUAACACGUGGGAACCUUCCUAGGGGUACGGAACAACUCAGGGAAACUUGAGCUAAUACCGUAUACGUCCGUGAGGAGAAAGAUUUAUCGCCCUUAGACGGGCCCGCGUAGGAUUAGGUAGUUGGUGGGGUAAUGGCCUACCAAGCCUACGAUCCUUAGCUGAUCUGAGAGGAUGAUCAGCCACACUGGGACUGAGACACGGCCCAGACUCCUACGGGAGGCAGCAGUGGGGAAUCUUGGACAAUGGGCGCAAGCCUGAUCCAGCCAUGCCGCGUGAGUGAAGAAGGCCUUCGGGUUGUAAAGCUCUUUUACCAGGGACGAUAAUGACGGCACCUGAGAAUAG
rnacentral:rRNA from 1 species